UUCACUUCCGCACAGCGCACAUGGCUACAUCACCCUCACGUGACGGCCAGCAUGCCUCGAUUGGGGUGGGGAUGUGUUAAUGGAUAUUCAAUAUAAGCAUAAAAUUAUUCUCUUAAUUCUAUGAAAAUAACAUAAUAGAACUUUUAACGUACUAACCGUGUCCCUUUAACGUGGAUAUAUUCAAUGUUCACCUAGAAAUAGUUGCUCUCAAAAAAAGGCAAACACUUUACUCCUAAGGAUGUAACGAAAGUAUUCCAUAUCUACCAAAAUAAUUAUUUGUAUUAAAUACAAAUUGAAGUUAAUUAGAUAAGAAGACAGUCAUAUAUAGUUUCGUGUCAUCUUUAUCUUACUUGGAAAGUCUGAUUCCCUUCUGAAAUAUCUCUAUAACAAAGCAAUUCAAUCCUCUAGUAAAGAGAAAAAACCAAAUUCUUUCCAUCCCAAACAACAAGUAAAUUACAACAAUAGGAUGAACUACAAAACGAUAGAGGAAAGAUUAAGAGCUUACCCUCGCAAAAUCAAAGCUCACCAAAAUGCUUAUCCUAACCAGAGAAUCGUACAUAAUAAAUCUGCAUCAACAUGUAAUCAUAGAAAAAAAAAUUUAAAAUUUAUAAAUACCAUCAUUUCACUACAAAUUUGAAUAAAUCCCGAAACGAUACAUUGGAAUAAUCUUUUAGGUCUUCCAAUAUUAAUAGGUGGUGCGUGAAUUAUUUGACACACAAAUUAAACCCUCUUUUUGACAAUUGUAGUAUAGAUGUAAGUAGGGUAUCGUUCUAGGCCGGGGAUUAGGAGGGAUUGCUAAUCUAUUAAAAAUAUUAAACAAGACUCAAGGACACAAAACUAGGCUAAAAACUCUAAUAACUCGAAACACACUUAGAAUGACUCAAAAUAAUGAAAACAAUCAAAUUAAACACUAGGAACUGAAAUGGACGGAAAUUAAAUUAAAAGACUAACAAUAAAGAAAACUAACUAAAUAAUAUAAUUUAACAAUGGAUGGGUGUUUGGUUUUGAUGAAAAGUAAAUUAAACUUAAUUAAAUUACAGAAUUUACAAAAACAUGAAAUUAAAAUGAAAAGAUAAAUGACGGACUAGCUAGAGGGUUCUUCUCCACACAUGUUAUACUUGCAUACAAAAUGAUUUCCAGUUGUUCAUUUAAUAAAUUUUGAAUCUCAAUACUCCAAAUUAACCGUGAACAGCACUUUUUUAAUCUUCAAGUUUUCCUUAAGUUAUUGAAUUGGACGGGAAAACACAUACAACAAUUCAAAACAUUCUUCAAAAGUCCCCUACGUGAAAAGCACAAUAGAGAUACAAUCAAAGAUCAUUAAACUUUGUGAAAACUAUAAGCAUUGACGAGGCAUUCGUAACUAUGAAAAGUAUGAUACUCUUGCCAAGAAUUUACUUAACGUGAUUGUGACUAGCAACCUUUACUACUUGUGAAAAUAAGUUCAUAACGAUUAGGUGAAAUUCACUUAUAUUCUAGCAUCAAAUUCAUGCAUGUAAAUUAAGCGUGCACUCUCAACCAACAUACACAAAUCAGUUUUUAUACGAACGGAUAAGUAAAUUGAAAUCACAACUUAUGAAAUCACAACCGAAGGUAAUCAAUUCAUAUUACAAAUAUAUUCAUGGUUUUGAAUUAACCUCUAGCCAAAAUAAAAUUUAAUUACACAUUAUUAAAACAGAAAUAAAAUAGAAGUUUGGAAAGAUUUAACCGAGAGCGAGAGUGUUUCUGCUUCCUGUGCGCUGACCUCCUUCGUUCUGCCUUCUUCUUGACCUCCACGUCAGCUCCUGGCUCCCACGCUGCUCUGACUUCUCCUCUCGUCUCACCCAGUCCGAGUCCUCCUCGGUUUUCUGCUGCAGCAAGGCAGCUGUCUGCUCCUCUUUCCUCUCCGCAGCUUCACGCUGCCCAAAGGGCAGCCCUCUGCCUUCCACCAAUUCCCCAUUUCACGUUUGACCUCUCUGCUCCUUUAUGCCGUCUCAAUGCACUAACUCCUUCCUUUUUUUUUAUUUUUCUUCCAAUCCGUGUCCUCCCGUAGUUGUCUCACAGUUGCCAAAGGCAGCCCACUCCUCUUCUUCUAUUAUUUUCCCUUUUUUCCUUGCGCCUGACUCCCAUGUGGACUCCUGCUUUUUCUUUCUCUUCUUUUUUUUUUAUCUUUUCCUUUAUACUCUCUCCAGCUCACGCUUCAUCCUCUCCCGCUGCCAAGGGCAGCGCUUUUGACUCCCCUCUGACUUCUCCAGCUGCCAAGACAGCACUCUUUGACCCCCUCUGCAUUUCUGCGCUGUGCUCACCUGUCCAUCCUUCUUUUUCUUUUUUUUUUUUAUUCUUUCCCUCAGUCCCCUAGCUGUCUCUUGGAUCCCUUUUUUUUUUCAUUUGUUCCAGCUGCAAAGGUAGCUUCUUUAUGUUUCUUUUCUUUACUCACCAACUGCAAAACACUUCAAUUUUAGAUAUAUCAUAUAAUUUCUAAUGCCAUAUAAUUUCUAAUGCAUACCUAAUAAAUUUAGCCUAACUUCCAUGACCUAUAAUCCGUGACAUAAUUCUACCAAUAACCCAUGACAAAAUGAGAACGACUAAAGCAAUUUUCGAUGAAUUUAUUAUUUAAAACUCAUUUGUGCCAUUUUUAUUUUCUUUGCAUAAACAAAUCCUAUAAACACAAAAAUAACGUAAAUAGCUCAAAAUAUAAGGAACUAACUAAGAAAAGACAGUGAAUUCGAAGUAAAAAUAUAUAUAAAUAUGAUCCGAUCAAUAGGGUAGAAAUUCAUAAGACAAAACACAACAAUUCAUUAAAUUCAAAGUUGCACAUAUUUCUUAUAUACCUUGAAUAUCAUGUUUUUUAUAUGAUUGUGACUAAGACCUGAUUUCUCUUUGAUCAGCCUGGGCAACUCAGUUUUUUCAAAAACCUGCAAUUAUUAUAUAAAGUCAACACAUUAUAUACAUACAGGAAAUUGCUAAUGUUAAAAUUUAAUAAUACAAAAGCAGCAAGUACCAAAAGAUUAUUCUCUACAGAAAACUCAAAUAGAUUAAAUAUCAAAAUUCAAACACAAAGUCAGAGAAGAACAUUAUGAUUAUUGAGCUAGUAUUGAAUAAUGAGUUCACCAUAUUUAUAAAUCAAGAAAUGCAAUCCACCAUUAAAAUUCUAUUAAUUAAACAGUUACCCCUAUAUUUUUUGCUAAUGAGUCUGACUAAGUAUAACCUAUCUGCUUUGCUUCAACCACCACCUCACUAAAAGUGCGUCCUUCAGUGAAGUUGUUGAAGAUAAUACUCAAAGUUCCACUGCAACAUCAAAUGAUAGAAGCAAGACUUGUGUUAAAAGUCAUAUUUUUUUUUGAGAAGAGUGUUAAAAGUCAUAUGAUGUGUGCAUUUGCAGACAUUAAGAUUUUACGUUCGCAAGAAAAGGAAUCACUCCAUUAAAAAGAGAGGAACUACUGAUACUGCAGGUACAUUAACCGGACCACUAAUUUUAAAUGACAACAUAUGCUCAAGUAAGCAAAGGACGAAAAGACAAAAAGAAGAAGUUAUAUACCGGUUUCAAUGUCAGUGUCAGGGCCCUCUUAAACCUGGUUCCAGAAUGAGGACAGUCCAACACUCUCGUAGUGACUAAUACUUAUUGUGACCUUCACCCGGUUUGUGGUGUAGCACUACACCAGCUCCUUUAGAUGUGGCCACUGUUAAAAAUUCUCCUCAAACUACAAAAACCUAAUUCACCAAAUAACCAAAAAGUGCUCACUUUUGAAUUCUUACCUUCAAAAAUCAAACUCAUUAAAAGUUAGAAACAUAGACCCACAUCCCAUUGCUUUGCAGUUUCUAAAUUGUAAUUCUUGGAAUCUUUCAGCCUAAAUAAACAAAAAGGGUAGAUAAAACGAAGACCGAGAGUGAGACACAUUACCUUGUUCUGCCGUUUGGUUGUGUAUGGAGUGGAAUAGCUGAAAAUCGACCAAAAGUUGAAAUUCAGUUUGGGUGAACUGGAAAAUCAGAACUAAUUUCCAUAAAUAAAAAAAGUAUUGUGAACACGGAAAUUCCUGCGAUGAACGAGACAAGAAACACGUGUACAAAAUAAUAUUUGUAUUGAUGAUUUAGGGGUUACAAUCUCUUCUACAAAUUUAGCCUCUAAUUCUAUCUUUGCAAUGGAUGGAUUUGAUGUUGUUGGUCCAAAGGGCCGUCGGGGCUUGAUCUUGGGAUGAACAGUUGUGCAGAUUUGUUGACGUCGUGGAUCCAAAGGGCCGUCGGGGCUUGAUCUAGGGAUGAACGAAUGAUGAACGAUGGACACUUUCUUCAAGGGCCGUCGGGGCUUGAUCUUGAAUCAGCGGAAGUUCUUCAAGGGCCGUUGGGGCUUGAUUUUGAAUGGGGAUUUGACGAAGAACGAAGAGAGCUCUCUUGAUCCUUCGGGAUUUGCUUGGGAGCUUUUGAGUUUCAAAGCUUCAAGGUUGUGGUAUGAAGUGAAUUGGUUAUGAAUUGGUGUCCUCAAAAUGAAUGUCUUGGCCUCCUAUUUAUAGAAUUCCAAAACUUGAUUUUUUGGAUUUAAAUAAUUAGAUGAAAUAAAUCAUUUCUGCCAGGUGUUGACACGUGUCCCGUUUGAUGACUUUUUCGAUUAUUUUGAUUUUUUCGUUUAUUCACAUGCUAUGUGUAAAAUUUAUGUGACACAUAAACAUUGAAAUUUUAAUUAUUGAUCAACAUUUAUUUUACCGAAAUUUCGAUGUCUACAAAUGCCCCCACUUCAAGGCGCGUCGUAUACAUGUGCUUGUCACAUGUAGAAGAUGCGUUUUGAAGUCCCUUACUGCAAAUGUUGAUUCAAGGGCCGUUGAGGCUUGAUCUUGAACUGGGUUGGUGAUUUCUUCAAGGGCCGUUGGGGCUUGAUCUUAAACUUUGUUUGAAAUUUCUUCAAAGGCCGUUGAGGCUUGAUCUUGAAGGUUGAAAUUGGACCACAAGGAGCUUCAUGUGGUAGAUGAUCUUUUGCUUUGGUAGUGGGUGAAUCGGCACGUAUUUUGUUACGAUUAUUGACUUUCCACAGCUUUGAUCUUGAACUGGUUCAAAGGAUUUUCUGGUUUCCUCCAAUUGUUGACUUUCCACAGCUUAUUCUUGAACAGGAUUGGAGGAUUUUUUUUUUUUUUUUUUUUUUUUUUGGUUUCCUCCAAUUGUUGACUUUCCACAGACCGUUGCGCUUAUUGACUUUCCACUGGCCAUUAGUUCUUAAAUUACCCGUAGGGAGUUCUUUCGCCUGGCAGAAGUGGUGGCAACCUUUUGCCUUUAAAUGGUCUUCAAAGCAUCACUUUUUAGUCACUCAUCCGUGCUUGGCAGCUUCAGUGUAAAGAGCUAACACCGUAUCAACUGUUUUGAAAUAUUUGCUGAGGAAAUUCGAGAUCCAUCAACAGUUGAAGAUGAGUACCCGAGAGCAACGCUAGGUAAGCAACCAGGCAAAGGUUCCUGGCAAUCAGUUUAUGAUCGGACGUUUAAUUUCAGGUUCCGACUGAUUGCUUCCUUUCUCCUUGUUCUGCAGGCAAGAACAAGGGCAAAGGAAAUGAUAGGGAAAAAGCAUGAUAUGAGAUACCUUUGCUUUCAACCCCGAUGAUAUGAGAUACUUUUGCUUUUGAAGAAGUAGCGGAUGAUCAGCACAUGUGUUUGUUGAGCUUGUCUCCACAUGCUUCGAUGCAUCAUUUUCAUUCGCCUCUUCUGUUCUCCUGGCAUAUGUGGUAUCUUCUCCAGAAGCAUAAGAUGUUGAGAUAAUGGGUACUUCGAGAGCAGUGCUAGGUGAGCAAUCAAGAAAGAUUCCAAGCAGUCGGUUCCUUACCAGGAGCUUGAGUGGAGGUUCCGACAUAUUGCUUUCUUUAUCCUUGUCAUCGUAGUGAAGAGGGAGGACAAAGAAAAGGAUAGGGUGAAAGCAUGCUAUGAGAUACUCUUGCUUUCAACCCCAGUGAUAUGAGAUACCUUUGCUUUGAUGUGAUUUGGCUGAAGAAGCGUUUCCAGGGAGGAAGAAAACUGAGUUUUGGUUGCAGAUGCCUUCGGCAAGGAAGAAGAAUCAGGCUGGAUGUGUGUCUUGCCAUAGCGGAUGGAGGUCGAAUUAUAUGGUGAGCUCCCAACAGCAAGUGGCAGGGUGGAUGUGCCUUGUCUCCCAUGCUUUGUCGGCCAACAGUCGGGUAGGUGAGUAUGAUGGACUCCACACGUUUUCAACCUUGUUUUCAACCUUGUCAGUGAUCUCUGGCAAAGUUGCACGUGAUAGCCGAAAGCUGAAACUGCGUCUGAAAAGUGUUGACGGAUUUUACGCAGGAAAAUCCGGGUUUUGAAAUUCGAGGAGUGGCGUUUUUUUUUUUUUUUUUUUUUUUUUGAACAAGUGGUUGAGUUGCCUCUUCUUUUUAAAGAGGUGUCAAUCAUUUUCGACCCUCACGCUUUGAAGAUUGCUCGCCUUUGAAAAUCGUCCUUGCUGUAUUUCUGAGAUUUUUUACUCACUCCAACCCUUUUCUUUUACCAUCUUUUUGAAAAUGGCUAACCCAUCUAACAUUUGUUUAGAUUUGAGUCUUAGCAGUGACGCAGGUGCACCGCGUCAGGGUAAUAUAUGGCGCCCGUCCUUCUCAUCUUCUAAUGGCUCUCUUACAGUUGAAGACUCUGUAAUGAGGGAUGCAGCAACGGCUACGGUUGUAGCUAGAAACCUUAUCACUCCUACAGAUAAUAUGAUACUUUCACAACGGUCCGAUGAAUUAGCUGUUCGAGAGUCCCAGGCUCUCAGUGUCCAGUGUGCGAACUCUGUUUCCAACAUCAGCCAACGCUUACUUGUUCGAACUCGCCAAGUUGAAUCAUUGACAGCCGAGGUGGUAGUUCUUAAUCAAGUGAUCAGACAGCUGAAGUAUGAGAAUAGAGAAUUGCAUGUGCUUGCAAAUAAUUAUUCGACGAGCAUGAAAAGGAAGUUUGAUCAGUUGCUGGACUCCGAAGGUCGGAUUCAAAGUGACAAUCAGAGAUUUGUGGAUGUAUUCCAGAGGGACCUUUUGCCUUCGUCAUCUGAAGUUUGACCAGGUGUUGAGGCUCCGAAUAAUCCAUCCCAAACGCCUCCCUCUUCUAGGGUUCCGCCGAGUAUUAAGGCUUCAAGUACUGAGGCUUCACAUAAGUCGCCAAGUACCAAGGUUUCAAGUACCGAGGCUUCACAUAAGUCGCCGAGUACUAAGGCUUCAAGUACUGAGGCUUCUCAUGAGUGACAUUCGUGAAGGUUUUUUUUUUUUUUUUUUUUUUUUUUACGCAUUUGUAAUUUCUUAGAGAUAUCAAUGGACAUGCUUUAUUUUAUUCAAUAUGUUGUGCUAAAACAUAUAUCUGACUAAGAUGUGUUACUCCUUUUUUUUAUUUUUUAUUUUUUAUUUAUUUAUUUUUUUAUUUAGAUGGUACCUGAUGUGCACUAUUCUUUUACUCCCUAUUUUUUAGAAUGAAAUUCGUCGUCUUCCCCCUGCUUUCUUCCUUUCAAUUAUUCUAUCUCCACCACCUAUUUCCUUUUUCAUACUUGCGAAUAGUAACGUACACCAUGACCUGCCUUUCUUGUUUUUUUCUUUUUUUAUCAUUUCCUUUUGGAUGGUGCCUGUCAAUCACUUCUUUUCUUUGCUUUCGGUGGCUGGUCACCAUUUGAAAACCUUUUUUUUUUUUUUUUUUUUUUAUAUAUAUAUGGUGCUUUGUAGGGAUGGAACUCGACGGACGGUGAGCUGCAGUCGAGGCUUCAUGACCGGCUAGUCGUUUGACGGCAGUUUAUUGAAGUUCUUCGUUGUUGUUUGUCACGGACGGAGAGUAGGCCUUUGGGGGUGAGUUGACAAACUUUGGUUUUGUCAAUCACAUUCAAAAGCAGCAGCCAUGGCGGAGGUGCAGAAGCAGCUGGAGCUUGAGGUAGAAUGCAAGGCAUUGAGCUUCACUACCGGCUAGUCGUUUGACGGCGGUUUAUUGAAGUUCUUCGUCGUUGUUGUUUGUUACGGACGGAGAGAAGGCCUUUGGGUGUGAGUUGACAAAAUUUGGUUUUGUCAAUCUCAUUCAAAGGCAGCAACCAUGGCGGAGGUACAGAGGAAGAAGCUCCACCACUACCGCCCAAUCCUUGCUUUACCUUACGAAACACAACUUUGUCAGCAAUUGGAGACGCCUGUACAUGCCCAUGGCCAUUUUGCAUGUUAUGAUACUUGUAUGAAUAUGCAACAUUGAACAAGGUCUUUUUCAGAAAGCCGCCUCAUGAAAUCUUCUGUGUCAAGCCUGCGUAGAUUCUGUCUAACACACGUGGAACAUCACAGAAGAUAGUCGGUUUUAACUCCCCAAUGUCUUCAGUUAAUAAUUUGACAUCCCUAAGCCCAAAACCCUAUUUGGGCGCCAGUCCAGAUAAAUAACUCCUCAAUCACCCGAUCGAAGAUAUGUGCCAGGGGAAGAAAUGAAAGAUAUACAUCCUCCUCACUGAGCUGUUCAUUUACAUUCUCUAGCAAACGCUUCACCCCAGCCAGAAGAGUAAUGAUGCUUUCAUUGGAUAUCAGUACUCCCUUGGGGUCACCAGUUGUUCCACUAGUAUACAUUAUAGUGCAGAUAUCACUUUUCUUUUUUUUACUGGAAGGUCAUACUCUUUAUUCUCUCCCAAUUGCAGAAAUUCACUCCAUGAAUAUAACGUCACUCCAUACUGCCCAAGUGUUUCCUCUUGUUCAGGUGUAACAUUACCAAAGCUCACAAGUGUCUUCAGAUAUUUUGCCGCACCAGGAAAUGUUUUCAACAGCUCAGGUAUCUUCUUUUCUUCAGCAAAAGCAAUUGAAACUUCAGCAUGGCAUAUGAUAAAUUCCACAGCACCAGCACCUAGAGUGUCAUAUAAAGGCACGCAACAGAGUCGAUGAGCAUUGCAAGCCUCCAUGCUCUCUUGCCCCGAAACCGACUCUGCUUCUCUGGUUGUCCCUAAUGAGGACAAUUGGGAAGCCCCGUCGGGGACUAUUGUCCGGUACUGGUCCGUCCGGUCAAACCGGCCAUCACCGUCUGUGCCGCUUCCUACCGGUCGGACCUUCCCUCCACCGCCAUUGUUCCCUCCUACGGAUGUCGUCUUGCCGUUGUCGGUCACUGAAAACGACUUACUUGUGGAAGAAUCAAAUUGGGGGUUAUCCAAUUUAUCGUUCUGAGUCUGAACUUCUUCCACUGAAAUAGUCUCGAUUGCACUGGCAUACAACCCGGCGGGCGGAGCGGUGGAGAAGGAAGGACGAUCGUCGAAACCAUCGAUUCGCUCGGUUUCACAUUCCCCGCAGCCAUUUUAGCAGAGAGAGUGAGACUUGUGAAGAUGGGCUUUGAAAGCUGGGCCCGGUUUUGUAAUUGGUGGACAAGGAAGGAGAUGGGCCUGGUUUGAUUUGGGUUUCUUCUUCUUGGAGCUGGAUUUGGACAAUAGGCUUUGGGCUUGGCCAACCUCCUUUUGAUGGGCUUAUUGCUGCUAGAUAGAAGACAUAUAUAUAUAUAUAUAUAUGUAUAAGGAAUUUAUUUUAUUUUUUUAUUUUUUUAUUUUUUUAUUUUUAAAUACAUAAACAUAUGUAUUCAUCAUUUUUUUUUAAAUAAAAUUGACUUUCUUUAAUAAAACAUUUAUUUAUAUUUUGAUGUGACUGAACUUGAAAUUGAAUAUUCAAGCUGCCUACGUACCCUUCCAAAGAAAGAGAUCAAGUCAAAACGUAGUUCAAAUACAUUUUUUUUUUCUGAUGAUUUUGAUGAUGAUUUUGCCGUACACAGUUUAUGCUCUUGCGGGCCAGGAGCGGUUGGUGUUGCCUUUUAUGCUCGUGCAGACCAGGAGCGUUGGUUUGUGCCUUUUAGGGGUAGUAGCGCUUCAAGAAUCUUCCAUUGAUAGGGCCAAUCUUCAAGCCGUCUUCUGCCAUGAUUAAGUAGGCGCCGUUGGUGUAAACCUCUUGUAUUACGUAUGGUCCAUCCCACUUUGAUGUGAACUUGCUUUUCGUCUUGUGAGUUGUGAUGAUAGGCCUACGCAAUGCGAGGACGAGAUCUCCAGUUUGGAAAGACCUUGGGCGGACCUUCUUGUUGAAUGCCUUGGAUAGCCGUGCUUGGUAGCAUUCUAAGUGUUGUUGAGCUUCGAGCCUUCUUUCGUCGAGUGCUUCCAACUCUUGAAGGCGCAACUUUGCAUUCUCAUUCUCAGUCAAGCCUUCUUGUAUAGCCAUUCUCAGUGAGGGGAUUUGACUUUCGAGCGGUAGAACAGCUUCCACGCCAUAUACAAGAGAAUAAGGCGUAGCUUGGGUAGGAGUCCUAUGUGUCGUCCGAUAUGCCCAAAGUGCUUCGCUUAUUCUUUCGUGCCAGUCUCUCUUUGUUCGGCCGAUCACUUUCUUUAAGAGAUUGCACAAUGUUUUGUUGAAUGCUUCUGCAAGACCGUUGGCCGGGGCAUGAUACAUGGAAGACUUAUGCUGCUUGAACUUGUAUUUCUCACAUAGCUCAUCCACGAGUCGGUUGGAGAAUUGCUUUCCGUUGUCAGUGAUGAUGUAGCGAGGCAUUCCAUAUCGGUGGAUGAUGUGCUCCUUGAUGAAACGGACGACCGUUUCCUUCUUUACUUCCCUUAGGGGUAUGGCUUCAGCCCACUUGGAGAAGUAAUCUGUUGCAGCUAGGAUGUAAGCUUCUCAUGCAGAUGAUUUUGGAGUAAUUGGUCCUACGACGUCCAAUCCCCAUGCAUCGAAUGGCCAUAAAGCAGCUGUAGGAUGUAAUGGCUCAGGUGGUUGGUGUAUGAAGUUUGCGUGGAAUUGGCAGGCUUGGCACCUUUUGGCAUAUUCCAGGCAGUCCUGCACCAUGCUUGGCCAGUAGUAGCCCAUUCUUUUGAGCUGGAAAUGUAGCUUUGGUCCAGAUUGAUGUGCCCCGCAUACACCUGAGUGUGCUUCUUCCAUGGCUUGAUUAACUUCUUCCUCACCUAGGCAUCUCAGAAGUACUCCUUCGAAAGAGCGUCGGUAGAGUGUUUCUUUGUAAUAAAGGAAGCGAGGUGCUCGUCGACGUAUUUCGGAGCGGUGUCUAGGAUCAUCUGGAAGUUUUCCAUGUUCUAAGUAAUCGAUCAGCGGUUGUCUCCACUCUUCAACAUCGACUGGAAGUACUGAGAUGACAUUUGUAUCAUCUAGUAGCAUUUCAGUGACGAGGGGGAUCACCCAUCUUUGGCAGACUGGCACGUCUGCAGCUUCAUCUUCUCCUAAUGUCAUGCUUGAGGCUAGGUUAGCAAGAGCGUCUGCCAUUUGAUUUUCUUUUCUUGGCAGAUGCUCUAGUGUCACAGUCUCAAACUCUUGUAGCAGUUGAGUUGCCAGCCGAAAGUAUGGGAUGAGAUCAUCUUUCUUCACCUCAUAUUCAGUUAAGAGUUGAUUGAUUAUGAGCUUGGAGUCGCCAAAUAUCUCAAGGGCUGUGAUUCCCAUAUUGAUCGCCAUUUGGAGUCCGAUGAUCAGUGCUUGGUACUCAGCGACAUUGUUGGAGCAUAAUUCGCUUAGUUGAAAGGAAUAAGGUAAUAUAUGCCUUUGUGGCGACAUGAAUACUACUCCUGCCCCCGCUCCGUCUGCUCGUGCAGAUCCGUCGAAGAACAUCGUCCAUGUCGGGAAGAUGUCGAUGUAGAACACUUCCUCGUCAGGCAAGUCGUCUGAGAUUUUCCAAUCAGCUGGGAUUGGGUGAUCGGCAAGAAAGUCUGCCAAUGCUUGUCCCUUUACGGCUUUAGCUGGGACGUAGAUGAUCUCAUAUUGGUUAAGAAGCAGCGCCCAUUUAGCGAUUCGCCCUGUCAAGACGAGUUUGGACAUGACGUAUUUGACCGGGUCAGCUUUUGCAACCAAGUGGAUGGUGUACGCAUGCAUGUAAUGCCUGAGUUUCUGGAUGGCGAACACCAAGGCAAGGCACAUCUUUUCUAUUGGGGAGUAGUUCAACUCGGCGCCGGUGAGGGUUCGGCUGAGGUAGUAAAGCGCUCUUUCUUUCUGGGAUUCAUUCUCUUGCGCCAAGAGUGCUCCAACUGAACUUUCUUGAGCGGCGAUGUACAAUAUGAGUGGUUUCCCGGGCACAGGCGCCCCCAAGACAGGUGGACUUGACAAAUACUUUUUUAUGCUUUCAAAAGCAUUGUGGCAUGCUUCGUCCCAUACAAACGGAACAUCCUUCUUCAUGAGUCGGCUGAACGGUUGACAACGCCCUGCAAGGUUAGAGAUGAAGCGUCUGAUAAAGGCAAGCCGUCUUUGUAGACUUUUCAGCUCGUGUAGGUUUCUUGGCUCAGGCAUGCUUUGAAUGGCCUUGAUUUUUGAUUGGUCCACUUCAAUACCACGGUGCUUGACAAUGAAGCCGAGGAACUUUCCGGAGGUGACACCAAACGCACAUUUUAACGGGUUCAUCUUGAGGUUGUAUUUUCGCAGCCUUUCGAACACUACUCGCAAAUCCUUCAAGUGAUAUGAUCUUUUCUUUGUUUUGACCACCACAUCGUCCACAUAACAUUCUACGUUCUUGUUAGCAUGUCAUUGAAGAUUUUCUGCAUUGCUCGUUGAUAUGUAGCUCCAGCGUUCUUUAGACCAAAGGGCAUCACCUUGUAACAGUAGAUAUCUUUUGGAGUGCGGAAUGCUGUUAGUUCCUCGUCUUCGAGAGCCAUACGAAUUUGAUUGUAUCCAGAAGAGCCGUCCAUGAAUGACAGUGCCUCGUGGCCAGUGGUUGCGUCCACCAUGAUUUCGAUGAUUGGCAAGGGGAAGUCGUCCUUCGGACAAGCGUCGUUGAGGUCCCGGAAGUCUACGCAAACACGUAUUUGUCCAGAUUUCUUAAGGACGAUGACGAUGUUGGAGAUCCAUUUGGGGUAUUGCACCUCUCGAAUGAAUCCUGCUUCGAUUAGCUUGUCAAUCUCUGCCUCGAUUUGUGGAAUGAGCUCGGAUCGAUAUCGCCUUUGAGUUUGCUUUAUUGGUCGUGUUCCAGGCUUGACUGCAAGAUGAUGCACAGCGAUAACAGGGUCAAGGCCGGGCAUUUCUUUGUAAGUCCAGGCAAAGACGUCUUUGUACUCUGAUAGCAGUUGGUAGUACCCCUCUAUCUCGUCUGCUCUUAGCAGUGCACUUACAAAAAUAGGUUUUUGCUCCUCUUUUGUGCCCAAGUUGAGCUCCUUGAGAUCGUCAACCGUGGCUUGCCCCCCAUCCUCAAGUUGUGGUGGUGCAGCAGUGACAUCUUCUUCAAGGGUCUCGUCUUCUUUGCCUUCUUGGAUCGUGAUGUGGAAGACAUCUUGGACUUCCUCUUUAAUGCCGUCCUCUUGGGUUUGUUGGUAUGCAGAUUGUCCAGUAUGGAUGAUGGUGCGCCUUCUUACUAUCAGUGGUCCAUUUGCGUCCACCUCCAAGAUUGCUUGACGCUUCAUCCUUGAAGGAAUUGAGCUUCGAAUAUCGCCUUUUUCUACUAGCCUGUCGAGCUUUUCUUCCUUUGACGUUGUUUCCCUAUUUCCAGAAAACUUCAUGUUGUCUUCAAGUCUUUCCAAAGCUGACUGACGAGAAGGAGAGCUAGCCGUGUUGCUUUGCUUAUUAGGUUUUGACAACCUUUCAAAAAUAGAGCUUCGGGAGGUUGGCCUGUUAAGCCUCUUGAAGACGGAGGUUCGGUUUUGACCGCCAAUAUGAUCAAGGGCUGACGUUCUGGGUCUUGAACGAUUCAUCCUAUCGAAGACUGGCGUUCGAGGGGUGGAUUUAGGCUCCUCUUGAUCUUGUUCAAUGCUCACACUGAUAUGUUGAGUGCUAGCAUUUUUCGCUUGGCUUGAAAUCUUCACGGGUGCAUUUGGUGCGAAGCCAAGUCCAGCUUUGUUGUUGUUAACUCCGUAACCAUGCUUCUUCAACUUCUUUUGAGUCUCGGUGAGGUCACGUUCUUUAUUGUUGAUGGUGUUUGAAACCUUUUUUUCAGGAUUCGAAGAAGAAGCGAAGUCGUACCCAGCUUUUGACAUGAGUUUGUAGGCGUUCGGAUCAAAACCUUCUUCAGUCCUCUUGGUUGGGAGAAAACUUGGUUCCGCUCUCUUUGGUAGAGCUUUUACGAAGCCUUGUGGUAAUCUUGCAACCUUAGCGUUGCUUAGCUGUGUCAGAGGUAGAACUGCAUUCGUCUUGAGCAACUUUACGUUAUCCAUAUACUGUUGUGCAUCGGCUUUGCUUGCUUCGGUUUCGAAUGGGGAUUGACCAUUCUUUCUUCUUGACAUCGGGAUGUAUCGGAAAACGGGUGUGUUUAGUACAUUUGAGGGCGUCUUACUCCCUUUGGUUGUUGCGGGUUUAGCAAGCUCAUCAUCGUUCUUGCUUAAAGACGACAUGGCUUCUUCUUCUUGUUUCUUGGGCAUGGCUUGCCACUCCUGCUUUUUAGGUGUUGCUUUACCCGUGGAUUUGAUCUCUUUUGGAAGAGCUUCGAGCACCAUGUCUUCAUCCAUGUAGAACUUGGCGUCUGCGAAAUGUGAUUCGACUUCGGUGAAUGGUUUGGUGUCGCCAUAGAUCACCUUUACUCCUUCUCGGGAGAAUUUCAAGCAUUGGUGAAGGGUGGACGGUACUACUCCAUUUGCAUGGAUCCAAGGCCUUCCUAAGAGCAAGCCAUAGGAAGUUCUUGCAUCAAUCACGUGGAAUAUCGUGCUUGACUUGAGUUCACCAAUAGUCAUCUCUACCCGGAUCAUGCCCAUCGUUUUUUGUCCUCCUUGAUUAAAACCUUGAAUUAGUAGACGACUUAAGGACAGUUCAUCCGCCUUGAUGCCGAUUGUAGUCAUUGUUGACUUUGGCAUGAUGUUUAUGGCUGAUCCACCAUCCACAAGCAUGCGGUUGACUUUGUGCUCCCUUACGUACCCAGAGACGAAGAGAGGACGGUUGUGAGGCUUGGAUCCUAGCAGCAAGUCUUCGUCGGUGAAAUGGAUUGUGUCCUCGAUGGCACAGCAUGUGGCAUAUUCAUGUGGCCGAAGCUUGAAGCCUUCGUUCUUGCUUUCUUGCACUUCGUGGUCAUUGGGACUUUCCAAGACUGCUGCUAAUGCUAUUCGCAUCUUCUUUGGUAAUCGCAGCGCUUCCUCAAUGCUAAAGUGUGUUGGCAGACCUUCUUCAAGAGUGAGAGUUUUUUCUCCCUCAGUGGUGAUAUCUUUGCCUUUUGAAGGUUCUUCUAUUUCUACUUCUACCAUGUGGCAUGCAGCGAUGGUGCACCGUUGGAAGAAGUCAUUCGGGAAGUACUCGUGCAAUGAGACAGGAAUGCGUGGCUCUUGCUCCAUAGGUUCCCCAGCAUACAUUGGCUUAUCAACUUUUACGUUUCUUUUGGUUUCCUACUGUUGCGGCGACGGUGCUUUCUCACUUGUUCCACCUUUUGUCUUAUGGCUUGUGGUUUUGGUUUCCUUAUUUUUUUGUAGGUCACCAAUGUCCAUCCUUCUUCAUCAUCGGUAUGUGCAUCUUGUUCGUUUGCCCCCGGCGAUGGUUGCGCAGAAGGUAUCGUGUAACUUAAGCAUUGAUAGGAAUGGUCAGGUGCUGCUUGGAGAGGCACGGGAUCGAAAGAUCCAAAUGCAAUUGUAGUAGUAUGUGUCGCGGCCGUGUCUUCGAGGUCGAGCUCGAUUCGCCCUUGUUGUGCUAGCUUCAUGAUGAGCUCUUUGAGGACGAAGCAUUUACCCACAGGAUGGCUCACGAUUCGAUGGUACUUGCAAUAUUUAGGAUCGUUUAUGCGAUUCAUUUCUUCAGGCCGCUUGCAUUCGGGUAGCUUAAUUACCUUCUUUUCUAGCAAGUCGUCUAACAUUGCAUCCAUGUCUGAGUCAGGAAAAGGGUAUACCUUCUGCUCCAAUUCCCUCAAAGUGCUUUUGUACCUUUCUUGGGUGCGGGGAGGCUCACUUUUCUUUAUCUCAUUUGCUUUAGUUUUGGAUGAGAUCUUGAUAGGCGAGGAGGCGGUCUUGACGGGUGCAAUGCUGAAGGUGAACGCUUCCUUGGGGGGUUUCUUCCCAGUCUUGUCUACAUUUGGGGAGAACACCUUAUCCUUCUUGAAGUCGGUGAUCGGCUCUUUCUUCCCGUGAUGGGCAAUACUUAGCUCCAUGUCAUGGGCACGGGUGGCUAACUCUUCAAAUGUCCGUGGUUUGAUGCCUUGAAGGAUAUAGUGUAACCCCCAUUGCAUGCCUUGGACGCACAUCUCAAUCGAAGAGAUCUCUGAGAGCCUGUCCUUGCAAUCGAGGCUCAGAUUGCGCCAUCGGUUGAUGUAGUCCACGACUGGCUCAUCCCUCCAUUGCUUCGUGCUUGUCAGCUCUAGCAUGCUCACGGUGCGACGGGUGCUGUAGAAGCGGUUGAGGAAUUCCCUUUCCAACUGUUCCCAGCUGUUGAUGGAUUCGGGCUCCAGGUCUGUGUACCACUCAAAGGCAUUUCCUUUUAACGAGCGCACAAACUGCUUGGCGAGGUAAUCUCCUUCCGUCCCUGCAUUGUUGCAGGUUUCGACGAAAUGUGCGACAUGUUGCUUCGGGUUUCCUUUUCCAUCAAACUGCAUGAACUUUGGUGGUUGAUAACCCCUUGGCAUCUUUAGGGCAUCAAUCUUCUUGGAGUAGGGCUUUGAGUAGAAUGAUGAGGUAUGUGAGCUCCCAUCGUACUGCGCCUUAAUGGUGCUGGCGAUCAUCUCUUGCAGUUGUUGGAUAGAAAGAGAUCCCAUGAGUGCCUCUGCUUGGCCUGGCUCCAGUUUCACAUCGAUUUUCUCCACCGGAGGCUCUUCAUCCUCGUCGUUUUCCUUCUUUACUGAACCAUCCCCUUGCUCGAUUUUCACGUUGGGUUUUACAUCUAGUUGGUUGACGAGUGCGGCGAUUUGCUGGUCUUUUUCUUCCACAAUCCGUGUUAGCCUUGCAAUUGCUUCAUUCAUAUGAGCCAGCUGCUCAUCGAUUGAAGUCGCUCCUGUAGUCAUGACUUGCAUGCUGAGUUGCCACUUGUGUCGGCAUCGGAAAGCAUGAAACCAGAGUACUUCCUUGGGCUUUCCUUCCUUGGCGCCUUUAGCGAAGCCAGGGUGAUCAAAGGUUCAUGCCUCAGGUGCUCUUGUUCCUUCGGCGGAGUUGAUGCAGGGGUGGAAGAUGCGGCAGAAAGAGCUCUUGCCUUGCUUCGAGUUAUGACGCCCGAAGUAACACCGCCUACGGUGAUAACGUUCUUGUUCCUUGCAUUGGCUGGGAGAACAACUUGAGCCUUCUUUGAUGCCAUUUGUGCUUUUUGCUGAUUCAAAGAUAGAGAUGAGAGGUAGAGAUUGUCCCACUGGGCGUGCCAAAUUUGUGAACACGGAAAUUCCUGCGAUGAACGAGACAAGAAACACGUGUACAAAAUAAUAUUUGUAUUGAUGAUUUAGGGGUUACAAUCUCUUCUACAAAUUUAGCCUCUAAUUCUAUCUUUGCAAUGGAUGGAUUUGAUGUUGUUGGUCCAAAGGGCCGUCGGGGCUUGAUCUUGGGAUGAACAGUUGUGCAGAUUUGUUGACGUCGUGGAUCCAAAGGGCCGUCGGGGCUUGAUCUAGGGAUGAACGAAUGAUGAACGAUGGACACUUUCUUCAAGGGCCGUCGGGGCUUGAUCUUGAAUCAGCGGAAGUUCUUCAAGGGCCGUUGGGGCUUGAUUUUGAAUGGGGAUUUGACGAAGAACGAAGAGAGCUCUCUUGAUCCUUCGGGAUUUGCUUGGGAGCUUUUGAGUUUCAAAGCUUCAAGGUUGUGGUAUGAAGUGAAUUGGUUAUGAAUUGGUGUCCUCAAAAUGAAUGUCUUGGCCUCCUAUUUAUAGAAUUCCAAAACUUGAUUUUUUGGAUUUAAAUAAUUAGAUGAAAUAAAUCAUUUCUGCCAGGUGUUGACACGUGUCCCGUUUGAUGACUUUUUCGAUUUAUUUUGAUUUUUUCGUUUAUUCACAUGCUAUGUGUAAAAUUUAUGUGACACAUAAACAUUGAAAUUUUAAUUAUUGAUCAACAUUUAUUUUACCGAAAUUUCGAUGUCUACAAGUAUAUAUAAUAGCAUUGGAAAAUCAGAAACCCGAGCCUUUUUCCAUUUUUCAAGAUGAAAAAUAAAAAAUUAAAUGAAUGGAGUGGAGUGGAAGCAGAGGAAGAGACCUGGCCUCCGGCAACGCGGAGCGAGAUGCCCUUGCUUCCAUAAUCGCCUAGUGGGAAGGAUCUGAGAGAGAGAGAGAGAGAGUGGAGAUUAUGUUGUAUUUAUACGUGGUAAAUGGUAAAAGCAAGAGGGAUCUGAGGAAAUACAGAGAUGAAAAAAGAUACCCAUGAGAAAGAGCGGAGGAGAUGCUGCCCAACGGAGGAGGAGGAAGGAGGGAGGAGCUUGGAGGGCGAGAUGCUGUACAACGGAGGAGGAAGGAGGAGAUGCUGUCGAACGGAGAAGGAUGUUGUUGUUCGUGGUUUGUGGUUCACGUUUUUGAGAGAGAACAUGAGAGAUCCUUUUGGAAACAAAUGGAAAAGCCUCGUUCUGGAAACAAAUGGAAAAGCCGAGCUUUUGCCUUCCCGCGAUGACCAACUUCUUUAUCAUUUUUUAUCAUUUUUGUGCCACAAUCCUGUAGCCGGGUUUAACUUGUGAUAUUUUUUAAUCAUUUUUUCAUCCU
rnacentral:lncRNA from 1 species